rnacentral:rRNA from 1 species
UACGUAGGGGGCGAGCGUUAUCCGGAUUCAUUGGGUUUAAAGGGUGCGUAGGCGGGCUAUUAAGUCAGUGGUGAAAUCCUGCAGCUUAACUGCAGAACUGCCGUUGAUACUGAUAGUCUUGAGUUUGGUUAAGGUAGGCGGAAUGUGUAAUGUAGCGGUGAAAUGCUUAGAUAUUACACAGAACACCAAUUGCGUAGGCAGCUUACUGAGCCGACACUGACGCUGAGGCACGAAAGCGUGGGGAUCAAACAGGAUUAGA